rnacentral:rRNA from 1 species
GGCUACACAUGCAAGUCGAGCGGCAGCGGGAAAGUAGCUUGCUACUUUUGCCGGCGAGCGGCGGACGGGUGAGUAAUGCCUGGGAAAUUGCCCAGUCGAGGGGGAUAACAGUUGGAAACGACUGCUAAUACCGCAUACGCCCUACGGGGGAAAGCAGGGGACCUUCGGGCCUUGCGCGAUUGGAUAUGCCCAGGUGGGAUUAGCUAGUUGGUGAGGUAAUGGCUCACCAAGGCGACGAUCCCUAGCUGGUCUGAGAGGAUGAUCAGCCACACUGGAACUGAGACACGGUCCAGACUCCUACGGGAGGCAGCAGUGGGGAAUAUUGCACAAUGGGGGAAACCCUGAUGCAGCCAUGCCGCGUGUGUGAAGAAGGCCUUCGGGUUGUAAAGCACUUUCAGCGAGGAGGAAAGGUUGAUGCCUAAUACGUAUCAACUGUGACGUUACUCGCAGAAGAAGCACCGGCUAACUCCGUGCCAGCAACCGCGGUAAUACGGA